UCCCUCGUGUCUCAGAUGGUAAAGAAUCUGCCUGCAAUGCAGGAAACCUGGGUUCGAUCCCUGGGUUGGGAA
rnacentral:tRNA from 1 species